AGUUUCCUCGGCAGGUUUGGCCGCUGGCUGGUCUCUGCCCCUCUAUGGACCCGGGAUGCCUCUCGCACCUCGGUGCCUCCUGCAGCCCCCACAUCACCCCAUGCCCUGCGCGCUGCACAGAGCGUGCCCGCACGAGCCACAGCCUCUGCCCUUCGUGGCCUCGCUUGACCUGGCUGUCCCGGGCACCCGGAGCCACCAAGGCUGCCCCCAGCCCAGUCCGGAGCUGGCCUGUCUCCCAGCCCAGUUUCCUUCCCUGAGCUUUAGGACGGGUCCCGCCCGGGGCUUGGAAGCCCACAACCCUGCGGCAGCAAAAGGCAAAGGGCGGGAGGAGAGCUACAAAGGAGGCCGGUGGCCGCAGCCAGAGUCAGCCCCCAGCCGUGGGUAACCUUGGAGGCGCCCUCGAGUGAGUGUGAGCGCGGAGAUCGUGGCUAGCCGGCGCACCCGGAGGGGCGGGAGGAGGGAGCUGGGAGUUGGGAAAGGGGAACCGCUCCCCAAGAACCCCAGGAGUUGUGGGCGACCACAGCAGCCAGCUCCAGGUGCUGGCCCCGGGGCAGCCCUCCCGCUGGGUAAAGUUGGCCCCGGGGCUGCGGCUGGAGGGCAGUGCGCGAGCUGAGGAGAGCAGGCCGGUGAGUUCCUGGCUGGCCGCGGAGGUGAGCUGGCGGCCGGAGCCGCGGGCGCGCUGCACCACUCGGUGCCCUACUCGGAGUAGCUCUCCCUUCCUCCCCUGGCGAUGACAGCUGAGGACAGCCGGGCUUCCCAGCCAGGCGUCCAACUGCUAAGAAGACAAAUUCUUCUCUGGCUUUUUACCGUCUUGGACUGUUCACAAAACUGCCCCAAGGUUUUGCUUUUCCUCCGUAGUAUACUAGACAUCCGGAACCGAAAAUACACCUUCUUCAUUCAAAAAGACCCCAGCCUGAGCGGUGACCUUCAGGGCUGGGGUGUGCAGAACACCUAGGAUUAUGGGGGUUUUUUGUUUGUUUGGUUGGUUGGUUGGUUUUUUUGUUUUGUUUUUUGUGGGUUUUCUCUUUUUUCUUUCUUCUUUCUUUUUCUUUUUUUCAAUCUUCAGCGGUGCCUCAAAAGAACCCCCCUUUUCUCCCAACCCCCAGAUCUGUAUAUAGACCUGGUAAAUUAAGAUUCCAGGGAAAUAUUUUGCCAUCUGUGCAGAGACACUGUGUGGACUUUAGGUGUUAGGAUGUGGUUUUGGAAUUUUCUGUGCUGUCUUUAACUCUCAGUAGACAUUAAAAUAACAGCUUGGUCUCGGCCAGCAAGUGAGCAAAGGUUAUCCCAGCUACCACAGCACCUGCAGAAGCACAAGUGGAACUCACACAUUUUGCUUCCCGUGUUCUAAAAUGGAUUCUGAGCCAUCCAGAGAAAUCCGCACAGAGGGGAACCUGAGAACAGAGGUGUACAUAUUAAAAAUUACACAGGUGAGCUCCUUUUCACUGAUGAUCCAGAGAGGAUGUGAGUUAAAAUCUUAGAACCGAAAGCACCGAACAGCUCCUACUUCUGCCUGAUUCUCUUGAAAGACCUUGUAGCAUAAUCUAAGGUCAGCAAAUGAAGUUUCUGGCUACCAUCAUAAAAGAACUUUAAGAAUCAGUUCCCUGUAGGGAAAAAUAACAUCUCAAAAUAAAAGGAUGGAAAUAGCACACAUUUUUUUAAGCAGAAAAUAUUAUACAGAGGAUCAAGGUAAUUUUUAAAAAUCAUUUCUAUCCCAAAGUAUAUUUUUACCAUUAUNNNNNNNNNNNNNNNNNNNNNNNNNNNNNNNNNNNNNNNNNNNNNNNNNNNNNNNNNNNNNNNNNNNNNNNNNNNNNNNNNNNCAACAUGAAUAUCCGGAAAAAAAAAUCCAGUGGUCUCUGUGUGGGUCUCUGACAGCAAUUUUUUAAAGAUUUCUGAGAUUGUUUCAAUGUAAUUGUGCAUAUAUUAGCAUUUUGAAAAAGUUCUCCAUAAAACCUUGGAUUAUACAGAAUUGUGUCAUCAUUUGCAGACUAAUAAAUUAUGUACACAUAAGAGACAUAUAUGGUGUAGGAUAAAUAUCUUUUCUUUAUUAAUCUUAACGUAUUCACUUAUUCAUUUGGUUUACAUUUUAAUGAGACAAAAGAAACACAUAAGUAAGUUAUGAAUAUUUAUUUUGCAUCUGCAUUUCCUUAUUUAAUAUUCAUAACUCCUUCAAGGCAAGGGUUGGUUUGGGCCUUCCUUUUUAAAAAAAAUCCCAUUCUACCAAUCAGGAAACUCAGAAUUGAUAGAAAGUGUGCACUUGUCUGUAGACACAAGCUGGUAACUUAAAAAUAACACAAGGAUUCAAACUUGUGUCUUCUUUUUCCCUGCCAGAUGGAAAUGUUUUCAUCAAAUUGGCACAAAUCAGUCAGGUGGCUAAUAAUCAUGUAUCAUGAAUCCAUCAACAUGGUCACCUAAUAGGCUUAUGCUGCAGGGACUCUAGGCUUUCUGCAUUUGAAAACUGGGAGAAACAACCCCUCAUUUUUUAAGUUCUUGUAAAGAGCAGCAACAUGUGUGCAAAGACCCUGCCCCUCAGGAGCCUUUAAUAAACCACAGCUAUUACUAAUAAACCACAAGCAACACAAACACACACUUUUUUUUGUUUGUUUGUAUGCUUUUGUUUUGAGAAUUACUUUGUAGGUCAGGUUGGCCUGAACUCAUGACAAUCCUCUUGCCUCAGUUCCCAAGGUUACAGGGUUAUAGGUAUGAGCCAGCAUUGCCAACUAGGAAAUCCAUUCUUGACCUCAAGGGACUUAAAAGCUAUUUGGUUAAAUAAAGUUUCUAUAUGGUAUGCAAACUGUAGCUGAAAACUAAGUGAGACACAAGUAAGUGCCUGGUGAUGUGUACUCUAGAUUGUACUGACAAAGGGGCCUUACUAGGGGAAAUAUUGGAAACCCUGUUUUAAAAAAGAAAGGGGGG
ensembl:processed_transcript 9630013D21Rik RIKEN cDNA 9630013D21 gene